UACUUCUUCGGCAGUGCACUAUACUCCAAAUUUAGAACAACAUCAGAGAAGAUUAGCAUGAUCACCUUGCGCAAGGAUGACGAGCCAAAAUCGCGAAUUUUAUGUUGUGAUG